rnacentral:tRNA from 1 species
GGUAGGGUGGCCGAGCGGUCUAAGGCGCUGGUUUUAGGCACCAGUCUCUUCGGAGGCGUGGGUUCAAAUCCCACCCCUGCCA